ACAAGCAGCGAGCGUGUGGUUUAAUUCGAUGCUACACGAAGAACCUUACCAGGGUUCGACAUGUAAGUGGUAGUGAUCUGAAAAGUCGAACGACCCUCGGGGAGCUUACACAGGUGCUGCAUGGCUGUCGUCAGCUCGUGCCGUGGGAUGUUCGGUUAAGUCCGCUAACGAGCGCAACCCUCGCCGUAUGUUACAAGUGUCAUACGGGACUGCCGGUAAAAGCCGGAGGAAGGUGAGGAUGAUGUCAAGUCAGCAUGACCUUUAUAUCCAGGGCUACACACACGCUACAAUGGUCUGUACAAUUGGUUGCCAAGCCGCGAGGCGGAGCCAAUCCGUAAAGCAGGCCUCAGUUCAGAUUGCAGUCUGCAACUCGACUGCAUGAAGCCGGAGUUGCUAGUAACCGCAGGUCAGCAAUACUGCGGUGAAUACGUUCCCGGGUCUU
rnacentral:rRNA from 1 species